rnacentral:rRNA from 1 species
GACGAACGCUGGCGGCGUGCUUAACACAUGCAAGUCGAACGGGUCUGCCCUGUUUUUUGCGGGGUGGGUCAGUGGCGAACGGGUGAGUAACACGUGAGUAACCUGCCCCUCACUUCCGGAUAACCGCUUGAAAGGGUGGCUAAUACGGGGUGUUCUGGCUGUGCCGCAUGGUGUGGCUGGGAAAGAUUCACUUUUGUGGUGUUUUGGUGGGGGAUGGGCUCGCGGCCUAUCAGCUUGUUGGUGGGGUGAUGGCCUGCCAAGGCUUUGACGGGUAGCCGGCCUGGGAGGGUGGGCGGUACCACUGGGGAUGAGGAACGGCCCAGACUGCUGCGGGAGGCAGCAGUGGGGGGUAUUGCACAAUGGGCGGAAGCCUGAUGCAGCGACGUCGCGGGAGGGAUGGAGGCCUUCGGGUUGUGAACCUCUUUCGCCGGUGAAGAAGGUCCUGCUCUUUGUGGUGGGGUUGACGGUAGCCGGGUUAUGAAGCGCCGGCUAACUACGUG